rnacentral:rRNA from 1 species
GACGGGGCCCGCACAAGCGGUGGAGCAUGUGGUUUAAUUCGACGCAACGCGUAAGAACCUUACCAGGUCUUGACAUCCGAUGCUAUUUCUAGAGAUAGAAAGUUACUUCGGUACAUCGGUGACAGGUGGUGCAUGGUUGUCGUCAGCUCGUGUCGUGAGAUGUUGGGUUAAGUCCCGCAACGAGCGCAACCCCUAUUGUUAGUUGCCAUCAUUCAGUUGGGCACUCUAAAGAGACUGCCGGUGUCAAACCGGAGGAAGGUGGGGAUGACGUCAAGUCCUCAUGGCCUUUAUGACCAGGGCUACACACGUACUACAAUGGCCGGUACAAAGGGCAGCGACACAGCGAUGUGAAGCGAAUCCCGAAAAGCCGGUCUCAGUCCGGAUUGGAGUCUGCAACUCGACUCCAUGAAGUUGGAAUCGCUAGUAAUCGCGGAUCAGCACGCCGCGGUGAAUACGUUCCCGGGCCUU